rnacentral:rRNA from 1 species
CGGCUCCUACGGGAGGCAGCAGCAAGGAAUAUUGUGCAAUGGGCGAAAGCCUGACACAGCGACACCGCGUGGGGGAUGAAGGCCUUCGGGUUGUAAACCCCUUUUCUCAGGGAAGAAUAAUGACGGUACCUGAGGAAUAAGUCUCGGCUAACUACGUGCCAGCAGCCGCGGUAAGACGUAGGAGGCGAGUGUUAUCCGGAUUUACUGGGCGUAAAGAGGGCGUAGGCGGCUUUUCAAGUCGGAUGUAAAAUCUCCUGGCUUAACUAGGAGGGGUCAUUCGAUACUGUUAGGCUAGAGGGCAGCAGAGGGAGGUGGAAUUCCCGGUGUAGUGGUGAAAUGCGUAGAUAUCGGGAGGAACACCAGUGGCGAAGGCGGCCUCCUAGGCUGUUUCUGACGCUGAGGCCCGAAGGCGUGGGGAGCGAACAGGAUUAGAUACCCCAGUAGUCCAAGCCG